GGGGGAAUCUGUCUUGAAGAGUAACCUUGAGCAGAGUCCCCACCCAAGGGAGGAAUCUCCACACACACUCCAAGAAGGGAUAUGUUAGAAGAACCUGCUGUUUGAAAGUGGGACUGGACUUUUAUAGUAUAAAGUGAUUGACUGUCAGUCAUCUGUCUCCAGGCCAGCUGUGUCAGCUUAACAUUUUUAGAUAAGAGUACUUUACUAUAUCUACCACACCUUUACCUCUCUA